UACAUAGGGUGCAAGCGUUGUCCGGAAUUAUUGGGCGUAAAGAGCUCGUAGGUGGUUCGAUACGUCGGAUGUGAAAAUCAGGGCUCAACCCCUGACCUGCAUCCGAUACGGUCGAGCUAGAGUUUGGUAGGGGAGACUGGAAUUCCGUGGUGUAGCGGUGGAAUGCGCAGAUAUCAGGAGGAACACCGAUGGCGAAGGCAAUCCCGUGGCCUGCACUGACGCUCAUGCACGAAAGCGUGGGGAGCAAACAGG
rnacentral:rRNA from 1 species